GAAAUGGCAAUCACUCCCAGUGAUGGCUUCUUAUUCCUGGACACAGACUGGCUGAUUGGAAACUACUCGGAGGAGCUCUUGCCGUGGAUCCCCGUUAUAGCAGCCAGGUCAUCCUUCUCCGGCCGGUACAUUGUUCUGCCGUUUCUUUGACUUCUAUGGGAAGUACCAGCGGAGACAGUUUCAGAAGUCCCAGUAUAAGGAAUACAUUGACUUCAUCUCUGAGAUCAGCACAGCCUGUGGCUUCAACACAGAGGAGGACUGCCUGAGAAUCCCCUCCACAAAGCGGAUAUCCUAAUGGAGCGGCAGGUAGCCUAGUGGUUAGAGCGUUGGGCUAGUAAACGAAAGGUUGCUGGAUCGAAUCCCAGAGAUGAUAAGAUAAAAAUCUAUCGUUCUGCCCCUGAACAAGGCAGUUAACCCACUCUUCCCUGGUAGGCUGUCAUUGUGAAUAAGAAUGUGUUGUUAACUGACUUGCCUAGUUAAAUAAAGGUUCAAUUUAAAAAAAUAACACCCACACUUGAACACAUGGUUCCGUGUGGCUCAGUUGGUAGAGCAUGAUGCUUGCAACGUCAGGGUUCAAUUCCCAUUGGGAAAAGUACAAAAAUGUAUGCACUCACUACUGUUAGUCGCUCUGGAUAAGAGCAUCUCCUAAAACACCAAAAAUACAAAAAUAACAAUAAAAAAAUACAAAUUUAAAAAACACAGAAAAUGCUAACAUAAGCCAGUCACAUUGUUUUAAUCUAACCCCUUACUCUGCAGGUGUGUCUGGUAGACUUGGUGCUACCAGUCAAGGAGCUACCAGCUGUCAGACGAGUGGAGAGCCAAGUAUAUACAGGGUCGUCAGACCUGGUCCGGGGUCACAGUACAAGGGUCAAACGUCGAGGGGGAAGCUGAGACUGACAGGUCCCAUGGGAACAACUGGGGAGCUGGGUUCCAGCCCCGAGAGAGGAUUGAGACUGUGGAAUUGCGCCGCCCUCCCCCGGGAUUUUGUAGAUGCCCCAGCCCCAGUAUAGUCUUACGUGUGGCCAACACUCUGCUUGGUCGACCGACAAGGGCGGGGAUGUCCCUGAUGCCUGGAGCACUGGAGUAAAGGCGGUAUGUUCCAUAUCCGGAACUGGCGGGUACAGACCCAGAAUGCUGAAAGGUACCAGGGCUGAUGCUAAACUGAAGCCCCUACUCUCUGGUGUCCUGAAAAUCCGGGCCUGCUGGUUCCAUGCCCCUCACCCCAACGGAUGCCCCCUGCCGGCCGAGGAGUGUGACUUUGCCCGUUGAGCCGACGACCAUCAACCUUCCACCAGACUACUCAAGAAAAUGAAGAACUCAAAUUAAACGCACGAUUCAGUUUAGACCGUUGCUUUAUUUUUAUUUGACUUGUUUUUAUGAUAUGACAGCUUGUUACACAAAAGAUAUGACAGCUUGUUACACAAAAGAAAAGGGGCUAGGCUUGAGUGAAAGAGCGGGAAGACUGAGGAACAAAGGGCGAAGCUGUGCUAUCGUAAAUACAGUAUCUUAUGCAUUCUAAAUUACCGCCCAUUUGGAAAAGGAAAAUGCAAUAAAUAUUUACUCUGAGCUGCACUUCGGUAGGUUGGUGUUAGAUGGAAGGCCGUGUUGUCCAACCGAGUCCUUUGUUCUUUUGAAGAAUGUCUCUGCUGGUAAAUUGAAUACGUUGUAACGUCGUUGUGUGGUAGGCGGGAUACUCUGUCUGUUCCUUCCUAACCCUCGUUUGCAGCUGCUGUUGCCAACUCAACGGCUAGGAGGUAUCACCUCUGUAGUGAAUAAGAGUUCAAAGUUCAUACCAUUUGCAACCAAAGCUCACGCUGAUGUUGGCUUCAUUCUGUAGUUAUUAUCUGAACCAUUCUGACAUCGGAUCGUCUUCCUCACGUCCUCGGAACAGAAUUGUUAUAUUGUCGUCAAGGGCUUAUAUAGGAAGGGAGAGGAGGGCUUGUUUGAGAAGUUUUAUAGCCCAUGUCCCUUAACAGUGGCAGGCCACUGAUUGAGCAGCCCUAUCUUAUGAAAACCCAAAUCUCACAUUUUAGAAGCUAAAAUCACAUUUCAUCCCAUCACAAAUAAUUUCAUAUUCAAACAUUUAAAAUGAACAACAAUUCCAUGUGAAUCUGAUAACUCUGAUGUGUGGACUUUCCAAUGUAGAGUUUGUCAUCUUAUCAUUGAUGACAAUUUCUCAGAUGACAACCGAACUGACAUCAUAUUCAUUAAGUGCCACCGCAUAUGUUCCAUUGGUCGGAUUACCAGAAUAUAGUUCAUUUCCCCCCACCUUCUGAUGUUCUCAGAAUCUCUAUGUUAACCAAGGGUUUUGCAAAUGUAACAUCAGUAGGGUAGAGAGAGGAAAAGGGGGGGAAGAGGUAUUUAUGACUCAUAAACCUAACCCCCCAGGCCAACGUCAUGACAGGGACCACCAUGGUGUCAGGAGAUGUCUACUGCCAUCCAGGACCUCUACACCAGGUGGUAUCAGAGGAAGGCCCUAAAAAUGGUCAAAGACCCCAGCCACCCCAGUCAAAGACUGUUCUCUCUACUAUCGCAUGGCAAGCGGUACCGGAGUGCCAAGUCUAGGACAAAAAGGCUUCUCAAUAGUUUUUACCCCCAAGCCAUAAGACUCCUGAACAGGUAACCCCCCCCCAACCCCUCUUUUACGCUGCUGCUACUCUGUUUAACAUAUAUGCAUAGUCACUUGAUCUAUACAUUAAUGUAAAUACUACCUCAAUUGGGCCGACCAACCAGUGCUCCCGCACAUUGGCUAACCGGGCUAUCUGCAUUGUGUCCCGCCAACCCCUCUUUUACUCUACUGCUACUCUGUUCAUCAUGUAUGCAUAGUAACUUUAACCAUAUCUACAUGAACAUACUACCUCAAUCAGCCUGACUAACCGGUGUCUGCAUAUAGCCUCGCUACUGUAUAUAGCCUGUUUUUUUAUUGUUGUUUUAUUUCUUUACUUACCAAUUGUUCACCUAAUACUGUUUUUGCACUAUUGGUUAGAGCCUGUAAGUAAGCAUUUCACUGUAUGGUCUACACUUGUUGUAUUCGGCGCACAUGACAAAUAAACUUUGCUUUGAUUUGAUCGCAGUCUCUCCACAGACACCUGUACCUGUACCUGUAUGUCAGUUGUGUUCAAAAAAUUAUUCUGCACAUCUGUGGAUUUGUAGGUCAGCCUGAGUGCUAGUCUCUUUUCUACUUAGCUAUCGUUGGGUCAGCUAGCGCCUUGUACCUGUGACUGCAUUACAGCCUUGCUGAAAUCACAUUGAAAUGACAUUAUAUUUGUCACAUGCGCCGAAUACAACAGAUGUAGACCUUACUGUGCAAUACUUACUUACAUGUCUUUAACCAACAACGCGGUUUUAAGAAAAUAGAAUAAACUAAAGUAAAAAAGAAAAAGAAACACAAUAACAAUAAUGAGGCUAUAUUCAGGGGGCACCAGUACCCCUUCUGAUAUUAUAGUUUAAUAAACAAUUUUUGUGUGAAUAUUUCUAUUGGGAUUGGGUAUUUAGCAUGAAUGCAACCACACAAGCACUACAUCUACUUGACUUUCCAAUGGAGGACACAUCUAUUAUCAAUCUAUGUGAAGCCUGCCACCUUAUUUUCCCAGCCAUAGUUAUCGAGAGCGUGCAGAGCUCAGAUUUGUUCUAUUCACUCUCUUCCUGAUCUGAAGGUGAUGUUCAAAGGGACAGCCUGCUGGAUAACCUUGCUGAGGCCUGUUGCUGUCUCUGAAUAGUAACAAAGAUAUAUAUGAUUCUGCUUAUAGGGGAAUAAUAGGAUGAAGUUGUUCCUAGAGGGCCUAUAGACACUGAUGUAAUGUCCGUUUUGUAGUCGCCACAGGAGACAAGAUAGGACCAAACAACACUGAAAGCCAAUGGUGUCUGUUGAUGAAGACACCCUCUAGCUGAGCAUGAAGAAACAACGGUGGACAAAACCUGAUGAUUGUGACCCAGUGAGCUUCUCCAUGUAGGUGAAGGAGCCCUCAGGAGAAUGACCUUCCUGGAAGGACCGGGGGAGAGAAUCAUGCUGAAUUACACUACUAUAGACAUGAUGGACAUUGAAUUGGCCCUGGGGGCGGAUGUGUGAAAGCUUGUAGUACUCAUGAAUGAUGACUGUUUCCAGUUGUACACUGAUGGGUGGGCUUUAAUGACCUGAGCAAGCUACUACACCACAGCAUCUCCACCUCUACCCCUUCUUAUUUUCCUCACUUCCUCCAUACACCUGAGAGAAAUCAAUUAAUUAAGAGCCCUGCCUGCAUUGC
rnacentral:lncRNA from 1 species